rnacentral:rRNA from 1 species
UACGGAGGGUGCAAGCGUUAUCCGGAUUUACUGGGCUUAAAGGGUGCGCAGGCGGAUAUGUAAGUCCGUGGUGAAAUCUUUGGGCUUAACCCGAAAAUUGCCUUUGAUACUAUAUAUCUUGAAUGCUGUGGAGGUAAGCGGAAUAUGUCAUGUAGCGGUGAAAUGCUUAGAGAUGACAUAGAACACCGAUGGCGAAGGCAGCUUACUACGCAGAUAUUGACGCUCAUGCACGAAAGCGUGGGGAGCAAACAGG